rnacentral:rRNA from 1 species
GUAGGGAAUAUUGGUCAAUGGACGAAAGUCUGAACCAGCCAUUCCGCGUGCAGGAAGAAGAUUCUAUGGAUUGUAAACUGCUUUUAGCAGAGAAGAAACGCCUUCAUUGAUGAGGGUUUGACGGUAUCUGCGGAAUAAGCACCGGCUAACUCCGUGCCAGCAGCCGCGGUAAUACGGGGGGUGCAAGCGUUAUCCGGAAUCACUGGGUUUAAAGGGUGCGUAGGCGGGAAAUUAAGUCAGUGGUGAAAGUCUGUUGCUUAACGAUAGAAUUGCCGUUGAUACUGAUUUUCUUGAAUUGGGUUGAGGUUAGCGGAAUGUGACAUGUAGCGGUGAAAUGCAUAGAUAUCAUCCAGAACACCGAUUGCGAAGGCAGGUGGCUGUACCUUAAUCGACGCUGAUGCACGAAAGCAUGGGGAGCAAACAGGAUUAGAAACCCCAGUAGUCC